AACGAACGCUGGCGGCAUGCCUAACACAUGCAAGUCGAACGAGACCUUCAGGUCUAGUGGCGCACGGGUGCGUAACGCGUGGGAAUCUGCCCUUGGGUUCGGAAUAACAGUUAGAAAUGACUGCUAAUACCGGAUGAUGACUUCGGUCCAAAGAUUUAUCGCCCAGGGAUGAGCCCGCGUAGGAUUAGCUAGUUGGUGGGGUAAAGGCCUACCAAGGCGACGAUCCUUAGCUGGUCUGAGAGGAUGAUCAGCCACACUGGGACUGAGACACGGCCCAGACUCCUACGGGAGGCAGCAGUGGGGAAUAUUGGACAAUGGGCGAAAGCCUGAUCCAGCAAUGCCGCGUGAGUGAUGAAGGCCUUAGGGUUGUAAAGCUCUUUUGCCCGGGAUGAUAAUGACAGUACCGGGAGAAUAAGCCCCGGCUAACUCCGUGCCAGCCGCCGCGGUACAC
rnacentral:rRNA from 1 species